UUCGAGUGGCGGACGGGUGAGUAACGCGUGGGUAACCUGCCUUACACAGGGGGAUAACACCUGGAAACAGGUGCUAAUACCGCAUAAGCGCACAGGGCCGCAUGGCCCGGUGUGAAAAACUCCGGUGGUGUAAGAUGGACCCGCGUCUGAUUAGCUUGUUGGCGGGAUAGGGGCCCACCAAGGCGACGAUCAGUAGCCGGCCUGAGAGGGUGGACGGCCACAUUGGGACUGAGACACGGCCCAAACUCCUACGGAAGGCAGCAG
rnacentral:rRNA from 1 species